AAAUUGAAGAGUUUGAUCAUGGCUCAGAUUGAACGCUGGCGGCAGGCCUAACACAUGCAAGUCGAACGGUAACAGGAAGCAGCUUGCUGCUUUGCUGACGAGUGGCGGACGGGUGAGUAAUGUCUGGGAAACUGCCUGAUGGAGGGGGAUAACUACUGGAAACGGUGGCUAAUACCGCAUAACGUCGCAAGACCAAAGAGGGGGACCUUCGGGCCUCUUGCCAUCAGAUGUGCCCAGAUGGGAUUAGCUAGUUGGUGAGGUAACGGCUCACCAAGGCGACGAUCCCUAGCUGGUCUGAGAGGAUGACCAGCCACACUGGAACUGAGACACGGUCCAGACUCCUACGGGAGGCAGCAGUGGGGAAUAUUGCACAAUGGGCGCAAGCCUGAUGCAGCCAUGCCGCGUGUAUGAAGAAGGCCUUCGGGUUGUAAAGUACUUUCAGCGGGGAGGAAGGUGUUGUGGUUAAUAACCGCAGCAAUUGACGUUACCCGCAGAAGAAGCACCGGCUAACUCCGUGCCAGCAGCCGCGGUAAUACGGAGGGUGCAAGCGUUAAUCGGAAUUACUGGGCGUAAAGCGCACGCAGGCGGUCUGUCAAGUCGGAUGUGAAAUCCCCGGGCUCAACCUGGGAACUGCAUUCGAAACUGGCAGGCUUGAGUCUUGUAGAGGGGGGUAGAAUUCCAGGUGUAGCGGUGAAAUGCGUAGAGAUCUGGAGGAAUACCGGUGGCGAAGGCGGCCCCCUGGACAAAGACUGACGCUCAGGUGCGAAAGCGUGGGGAGCAAACAGGAUUAGAUACCCUGGUAGUCCACGCCGUAAACGAUGUCUACUUGGAGGUUGUGCCCUUGAGGCGUGGCUUCCGGAGCUAACGCGUUAAGUAGACCGCCUGGGGAGUACGGCCGCAAGGUUAAAACUCAAAUGAAUUGACGGGGGCCCGCACAAGCGGUGGAGCAUGUGGUUUAAUUCGAUGCAACGCGAAGAACCUUACCUGGUCUUGACAUCCACGGAAGUUUUCAGAGAUGAGAAUGUGCCUUCGGGAACCGUGAGACAGGUGCUGCAUGGCUGUCGUCAGCUCGUGUUGUGAAAUGUUGGGUUAAGUCCCGCAACGAGCGCAACCCUUAUCCUUUGUUGCCAGCGGUUAGGCCGGGAACUCAAAGGAGACUGCCAGUGAUAAACUGGAGGAAGGUGGGGAUGACGUCAAGUCAUCAUGGCCCUUACGACCAGGGCUACACACGUGCUACAAUGGCGCAUACAAAGAGAAGCGACCUCGCGAGAGCAAGCGGACCUCAUAAAGUGCGUCGUAGUCCGGAUUGGAGUCUGCAACUCGACUCCAUGAAGUCGGAAUCGCUAGUAAUCGUGGAUCAGAAUGCCACGGUGAAUACGUUCCCGGGCCUUGUACACACCGCCCGUCACACCAUGGGAGUGGGUUGCAAAAGAAGUAGGUAGCUUAACCUUCGGGAGGGCGCUUACCACUUUGUGAUUCAUGACUGGGGUGAAGUCGUAACAAGGUAACCGUAGGGGAACCUGCGGUUGGAUCACCUCCUUACCUGAAAGAA
rnacentral:rRNA from 1 species